CAGCAGCCACGGUAAUACAGAGGGUGCAAGCGUUAAUCGGAAUUACUGGGCGUAAAGCGCGCGUAGGUGGUUUGUUAAGUUGGAUGUGAAAGCCCCGGGCUCAACCUGGGAACUGCAUCCAAAACUGGCAAGCUAGAGUACGGUAGAGGGUGGUGGAAUUUCCUGUGUAGCGGUGAAAUGCGUAGAUAUAGGAAGGAACACCAGUGGCGAAGGCGACCACCUAGACUGAUACUGACACUGAGGUGCGAAAGCGUGGGGAGCAAACAGGAUUAGAUACCCGAGUAGUCCCUGUCUCUUAUAC
rnacentral:rRNA from 1 species